CAGAAUUCCGCACUCUGCUCAUCUCCCAUCUUCAAUAUCCAUCGUGGUCUCUCCCCGGGCCCUGGGAGCCAGCAGCAUCUGCCCUUGCCUGUGGACUGCAUCCCGCCUGUGUCUUUGUAAUGAGGAGUUUUCGGUACACAAUAGGAACUAGUCAACACACCAACAUCCUGAAGUUUUCCCGCCUGACGGGGAUUCUUUGCUCGAUCAGUCUUUAGUCAUGCUCCCAAACCUUCUUCUAGGCCCGUCUGUGCACUUCCUUGUAAGAUCCAGUUUUAACAAGAACUGUGACUACAUCUCUCCUCGAAAAGUGUUUGUCAGACAAAGAAAAUUACAGAAAACCAAAUUAUUGGGUGGGCAACCAACGUUUUAAGAAAUGAAUUAGGAUAGAAGAGAAAUAUCAGAGAGUAUUGAGAAGCACUUGGACCUAUGUGCUCAGGAAACAGACGUUGAAUGAAGGAAUGUCCAGAGCACAACAGAAGUUCAGAAUGGACAGGAUGAGAUGGAACGUGUAACACUUUAAAAGUUACCACCUUUUUAACAGGAUUAAAGGCUUAAGUCUAAGGAAUGACAAUGUAGAGAUUUGGGCAUCGCUGGGUGGCUCCGCAGACUCUGAUGGAGGGGACCCCUCCCUGGGCGGGGACAGAUGCCAGCCCCGCACAGAGACCAGGGGUUCUGCCGCUCGCCCCCCAGGGUCUCAGGGCAGGAUCUGAGCACUUCCCUGCUGGCAAAGGGAGAUGGAAACUGCAGUUUGGGAAGAUAGCAGAAAGGGAAGGCAGAGUGUUUUAAUUAAACAAGAAUAGAAAAUGUACGAAAAAUAUCUCCUCGACACAAUCUCAUGAGAGCAGGAGUGCUGCCCG
rnacentral:lncRNA from 1 species